AUCUAUGGCCAUACCACUGUGAAUGCAUCCAAUCCCAUCUGAUCUUGAAAGCUAAGGAGGGUGCAGCUUGGUUAGUACUUGGAUGUACUUACCUGGGAAUACCAGGUGCUAUAGGCU
ensembl:rRNA 5S_rRNA 5S ribosomal RNA